AGCGAACGCUGGCGGCAGGCCUAACACAUGCAAGUCGAACGAACCUUUCGGGGUUAGUGGCGGACGGGUGAGUAACACGUGGGAACGUGCCUUUAGGUUCGGAAUAACUCAGGGAAACUUGUGCUAAUACCGAAUGUGCCCUUCGGGGGAAAGAUUAAUCGCCUUUAGAGCGGCCCGCGUCUGAUUAGCUAGUUGGUUGAGGUAAUGGCUCACCAAGGCGACGAUCAGUAGCUGGUCUGAGAGGAUGAUCAGCCACAUUGGGACUGAGACACGGCCCAAACUCCUACGGGAGGCAGCAGUGGGGAAUCUUGCGCAAUGGGCGAAAGCCUGACGCAGCCAUGCCGCGUGAAUGAUGAAGGUCUUAGGAUUGUAAAAAUUCUUUCACCGGGGACGAUAAUGACGGUACCCGGAGAAGAAGCCCCGGCUAACUUCGUG
rnacentral:rRNA from 1 species